rnacentral:rRNA from 1 species
UACGAAGGGGGCUAGCGUUGCUCGGAAUCACUGGGCGUAAAGGGUGCGUAGGUGGAUCUUUAAGUCAGGGGUGAAAUCCUGGAGCUCAACUCCAGAACUGCCUUUGAUACUGAGGAUCUUGAGUUCGGAAGAGGUGAGUGGAACUCCGAGUGUAGAGGUGAAAUUCGUAGAUAUUCGGAAGAACACCAGUGGCGAAGGCGACUCACUGGACACAUAUUGACGCUGAGGUGCGAAAGCGUGGGGAGCAAACAGG